UGUGGAAAACAUGAAACAUUUCCUGAAAAUGAAAUAAUAGUAUCUGUCAAAUGAAAUCAAAUUCACUAACUCUGCAAGACUAAAUGCAAUUUUUGAGGUGAAGCCCCUAUUCUCUAAGAAGAAGCAGACAAAAGAAGCAAAGUCUAUUUGUGUCUAAAAUAUUUGCCACUUACCAAGGGAUACUCUGAGGUGGAGCAGAGGUGGUAAUGUGAG